rnacentral:rRNA from 1 species
CUACGGGGCGCAGCAGUGGGGAAUAUUGGACAAUGGGCGAAAGCCUGAUCCAGCCAUGCCGCGUGGAUGAAGAAGGCCCUAGGGUUGUAAAGUCCUUUCGGUGGUGAAGAUAAUGACGGUAACCACAGAAGAAGCCCCGGCUAAUUUCGUGCCAGCAGCCGCGGUAAUACGAAAGGGGCUAGCGUUGUUCGGAAUUACUGGGCGUAAAGCGCACGUAGGCGGCCUUGUAAGUUGGGGGUGAAAUCCCGGAGCUCAACUCCGGAACUGCCUUCAAAACUACAAAGCUAGAGGAUGUGAGAGGAUAGUGGAAUUCCGAGUGUAGAGGUGACAUUUGUAGAUAUUCGGAAGAACACCGGUGGCGAAGGCGACUGUCUGGCACAUUUCUGACGCUGAGGUGCGAAAGCGUGGGGAGCAAACAGGAUUAGAUACCCGGGUAGUC